GUGGCUUGGUGGAGGAAAGACGAGACCGUCUAGGUUUUGCGUACGAACGACGACACUCCGUCGACAUUGGGUGGUUGGGUGGAGGGAAGACGACACCUCUAUGUUUUGCCUACGAACGCCGUACGACAACACUUCGGUAGCAGCGGUGGUAGGGUGGAGGGAAGACAAGUCUCUCUCUGGUUUUCACGCUCAAAGAUUCUCUCUCAAAUGUUCCUCAGAUUACAAAUUUGAAAAUGAGAAAAUAAAACUCAAAUUUGAAACAUGUCCCCAAUUCUCAUUGUCACAUCAUUCUCAUAUUAAAAAUUCAUUUUCCACGUGCACCACUCACAUUUAAACACGUGUCCCGUGUGUAAAUGUUGUCAAAAUCUGUUGUUUACAUAUAAUUUUCCUUAAUAAAAUAGUUAUAUUAAUACGAGUAAAAUUGAUACUGAAAUAUGUACACUAAAAAAGGAUGCGGAGCAAUUACUAAAUAUAGUAUUCUUUAUAUGUAAAUAUUGACAGCGUACCAAACAGAGCAAGAAGAGAAAAAAAUUAUUGUGAUUUUCACAUACUUACUACAGGGC
rnacentral:lncRNA from 1 species